AGUGAACGCUGGCGGUAGGCCUAACACAUGCAAGUCGAACGGCAGCACAGUAAGAGCUUGCUCUUACGGGUGGCGAGUGGCGGACGGGUGAGGAAUACAUCGGAAUCUACUUUUUCGUGGGGGAUAACGUAGGGAAACUUACGCUAAUACCGCAUACGACCUACGGGUGAAAGCAGGGGAUCUUCGGCCCUUGCGCGAUUGAAUGAGCCGAUGUCGGAUUAGCUAGUUGGCGGGGUAAAGGCCCACCAAGGCGACGAUCCGUAGCUGGUCUGAGAGGAUGAUCAGCCACACUGGAACUGGGUCGCGGUCCAGACUCCUACGGGAGGCAGCAGUGGGGAAUAUUGGACAAUAGGCGCAAACCUGUUCCAGCCAUACCGCGUGUGUGGAGUAGGCCUACGGGUUGUAAAGCCCUUUUGUUGGGAAAGAAAGGCAGCAGGUUGAUACCCCGCUGUUCUGACGGUACCCAAAGAAUAAGCACCGGCUAACUUCGUG
rnacentral:rRNA from 1 species